CAUGUAGAAGGUCCUCUACUUCACAUUAAAGCAAUAUGUCGCAGGAAAUAGAUAGCAAAUUCUAAUCCACACAUAGAACAGGGCAAGAAGCCUGAAGAUGACACACUUCUUCCUCAUGUGUAAGGGAGCAGAGCAAGCCUGGAGGGCUUCCUGGAGGUCUGAGUGAUGCUGGGCCUUGAGAGCUGGGCCAGACUGGGGCAGUUGUACUAGGAAUCAAGCCCUCAAGAAAGCUGAUCACAAAGAAGAAACUCACACAAAAGUGGGUAAUGCACAAAUAUCAAUAUAAAAAGAAGAAGGUGAUAAAAUAAGGCAACAUGACUCUUCCACAGGUGACUAAUUCAUAAGUAACAAUACAAAGAUAUCCAAAUGGAUAAAAAGGUGGACAAAAAUCAAAGAAUUAUUUUUAAAUGACCAAUAACUUUAAGGAGGGUUUAAAUAAACAGUUGAAUGAAUUAGGGAAGCUUAUGCAGGAGAUGGAGACACAAUUCAAUAAAAAGAUAGAGGUUCUAAAGAAGAGGAAAACAAAAAUCUUGGAAAUGAAAAGCUCACAAUCAAAUAAAAAACUAAAUGAGAUGCAAGCAAAGGACAGAAUUUCAGGGCUUAAGGAUAAAAGUGAUGAAUUAUCACAUCCAGAUACUAGUAAAGAAAAAAUAACAAGUUAUUAACAAAGCACCCAAAACCCUGGGACGUGGUUAAAAGACUGAAAUGAGGAAGGUGUUGAAGUUCACACUAAGUUCGUUGAACAGAAAAUCUAUUUCAAUGAAAUACUACAAAGUUCCCAAAUGUUGGAAAAGAUACUGACAUCCAUAUGUAGUAGGCAUUUAGAACCACAAAGAAGCAUGGCCAUAAAAUAAUUUCCACAAGUCACAUUAUUGUUAAAAUGCCAAGCAUAUAGAGCAGGUUAAGAAUAUUGAAAGGUGAAAGAGAGAAACUUAAAGUCACAUAUAGGGGCAGACCCAUUAGAAUAAUUGAAGACUUAUCUCCAGAAAGUAUAAAGGUCAGAAGAUCAUGAAAUGAUGUACUUCAAGCCUUGAAAGAAAGUAUCUACUAACAUAGAUUAUUAAAUUCAGCAGAUUUAUCUUUCAAGUUGAAGGAAAAAUAAAGAAUUUCCAUGAGAAUCAUAAACAAAAGAAAUUAAUGACCACUAAAACAUCAUUGCAGUAUAAACUUAAAGGAAUCCUACAUACUAAAGUGGAAAAGACAUCAGCUAUUGAGAAGAACGUCAAGCACUACAAUAAUAUAAUGAAAUAACUACUGCAUAUCUUUCAAUAAUAACUCUGAAUCUAAAUGGCCUUAUUUCUCCUAAAAGAAGUGGACUUGCAGCCUGGAUUAAAAGCAAGACUCAACUCUUUUUUGCCUUCAAGAAACACACCUCACUAAGAAAGAUAUGUAAAGUAAAAUCAAAAGGAAAGAAAACAAAGUUUUAUGAAAAUGGAAUCUGAAAAUAAGAGGAGUAGUUUUACUCAUAUAAAACAAAGGAGAAUUUAAGACAAAAUUAUUUAGAAGAGAAAAAGAAGGCCACAAUAUAUUGGUAAAAAAAUAAUCCACCGAGAAAAAUAGAAAACAUAUACACAUUGCAUAUUGGUGCAUCCAACUUAGUAAAUCAAAAUAUUUGAUGGAAAGGGACACAGCACCCAAUACAAUAAUAGUGGGUGACUAUAAAACUCAACUCUUGACAAGACAGGUCAACCAGACAAAAAACUAGCAAAGAAUCAUGAAUUGAACUGCACCUUAGACUGAACAGGAAUAUAAGGAAUAUUUCAUCCAACAACUAGAGAAAACACAAUUUUUAUAGGCACAUGAGUUGUUCCCCAAAAGACACCAUAUUUUAGUGUAUAGAGAAACUGUUAACAAAUCUAAAAUGUUUUAAAAAUUCUUAUAUCUUAUCCUAUCAUGAUAGAAUGAAACUGGAAAUUAACAGCAAGAGAAGCUACAGGAAUUGCACAAACACAUGGAGAUUGAAGGGUCUCUAUUUUUGAACAAUCAGUUGGUCAUUGAAGAAAUCAAUGGAGAAGUUUAAAAAUGCCUAGAAUCAAAUGACAAUGCAACCAAAUAACAAAUACAACCAGCAAUAACAAAAUAACAGUACAACCAACAAGAAUCUCUAGGCUAUAAAGGGAAUAAAAGGGAAAUUUCUACCUUUGAAUGGCUACAUCAAAUAAUCAGAAAGAUCUGAAAUAACUUAAUGAUGCAUCCCAAGGUCUUGGAAAGAAAGAACUAUCCAAAAUCAACCCCAACAAAAGGAAAAAAUUAGUAAAGUCAGGGAUAAAGUUGAUAUAAUGAAUACAAAAUGAACAGUACAAAGGAUAAAUGAGACAAAGUUACUUCUUUAAAAAGAUAAACAAUAUUCAAAAUCCUUUAUUUAAACUAACCAAUUAAAAGAAAAGACCAAAUCAAUACAAUCAAAUAAGAACAGGGGGAUUUAAAAAAAAAACACCACUGAAAAUCAGAGAAUCAAUAGGGAUAAUUUUGAAAAUUUAUGGAGAAUCUAGAAGAAUGAGGUAAAUUUCCACACAUAUACAAUCUACCAAAAUUAAAAUAAGAAUAUAUAAAACACUUAAACAGGUCAAUAGCAAGUCAGAAGGUUGAAGAAGUAAUAAAAAGUCUCCAAUAAAGAAUCUUAAGACCAGGCAAAUUCAGUGCUGAAUUUUAUCACACUUUUAAAGAAAUAUUACCACCAAUGCUUCCCAAAUCAUUUUAUAAAAUAUAAAGAGAAGGAAUGCUUCCAAACUCAUUCUAUAAGGCCAAUGUCACCAAGACCAGAAAAAGACACAAGAAAAAACAAUAUUAGUGAUUAAAUGUAGAUGUAAAAAGCCUUAAUAGAUUACUUGUAAACAGAAUUCAGCAAUCCAUUAAAAAGAUCUACUUGGUCUAUUUUCAGAGAUUCAAGAAUAGUUCAACAUAUGCAAAUUAAUAAAUGUUUUGCAUAACAUAAAGAGAAUCAAGGAUAAAAAUCACAUGAUCAUUUUUUUGAGGCAGAAAAAACUUCAACAAAGUUCAAUAUCCCUUCAAUGACAAAAGCCCUGAAAAUCUAGAUCUUGAAGCAGUAUACCUUAAUAUGGUAAAGGUUAUACAAAAAAUGUACAAGCAUCAUACUGUAUGUAUAAAACUGACAGCAUUUUCUCUAAAAUCAGUAAUGAGACACAAAUGUCCACUGUCUCCCCUCUUAUUCAAUGUAUUACUUGAAAUUUUAGUCAUAUCAGUUAGGCAAGAAAAAGAAAUAAAAUGGGCACGAAUAGGAGAGGAAUGAGGCAAAUUAUCUUUAGUUGCUGAUAAUACGAUUCUAUACUUAAAAGAUACUAAAUACUCCAUCAAAAGAAUUUCCAAACUGAUAAAUUCAGGAAAGUAGUAGGAUAUAGAAUCAAUAAUAGAAGAUAGAUUGCUUUUGUGUACACCAAUAAUAAACACAUUGAGAAAAUAAUCAGUAAAUACAAUUCCAUUCACAAAUGCUUCACAAAACACCUACAAAUCAACCUAACUACAAAGAUGAGAGACAUCUGCAAUAAAAAUUUAAGAAUUCAGAAUAAAAGAAUUGAAAAGAACACUGGAUGAUGGAAAGAUCUCCCAUAUCCAUGAAUCAGAAGAAUUAAUAUUAACAUGGCCAUAUCAGAAACAAUGAUCUACAGAAUCAAUGUAGUUCACAUCAGAAUUCUGAUGGCAUCCUUCACAGAACAACAAAAAUCCCAAAAUUCAGUAAAAACACAAAAGACCCAAAAUAGCCAAAUAAAUCAUAAACAAAAAAGAGAAAAGUUGGAGGCAUCACAAUUUCUGAUUUCAAAUUAUACUUCAAAGUCAUACUAACAAAACAUCAUGGUACUUGAACCAAAAAACGACAUGUACAUUAAUGGAAUAGAAUAGAGGAUACAGAAACAAACUCAUGCAACUACAGCCAUCUGAUUCUUGACAUGAGUCAACAUCAUACUCUGCCUCUUUAGCAAAUUCUCCUGGGAAAACUGGACAUUCACAAGGCAAGACUGAAACUAGGUCUGCAUCUAAAUGUAUCAAAGACCUAAGUAGAAGACCUGAAACUUUCAAGUUGCUAAAGAAAAUAUAGGAGAACUUCUUGAAGUCCUAGGCACAGGCAAAAAUGUCCUGAAUAGGACUUCAACAGCACAGAAAAUAUGAUCAAGAAUCAACAAAUGAGACUACAUCAAGUUUAUGGUUCUACACAGCAAAAGAAACAGUCAACAGAGUGAAGAGACAUUUUACAGAAUAGGAGAAAAUCUUGGCCAGCUAUUCUUUUGACAGAUGAUAAAUAUCUACAAUGUAUAAGGAACUAAAGAGUUUAACAUAAAAGGAAGAAAAAGGAAAGGAGAAGGAAAAGGAAG
rnacentral:lncRNA from 1 species